UACGGGGGGCAAGCGUUGUUCGGAAUUACUGGGCGUAAAGCGUACGCAGGCGGAUCGUUAAGUCGGGUGUGAAGGCCCGGGCUCAACCCCGGAAUUGCAUUCGAUACUGGCGGUCUUGAGUGCGGGAGAGGUGAGUGGAAUUCCUGGUGUAGAGGUGAAAUUCGUAGAUAUUCGGAGGAACACCAGUGGCGAAGGCGGCUCACUGGUCCAUUACUGACGCUGAGGUGCGAAAGCGUGGGAGCAAACAGG
rnacentral:rRNA from 1 species